rnacentral:rRNA from 1 species
AAUCAACGCUGGCGGCGUGCCUAACACAUGCAAGUCGAACGCGAGAGGGGCUUCGGCCCCGAUUGAGUGGCGAACGGGUGAGUAACGCGUGGGUGACCUACCUUCGAGUGGGGGAUAACGUCCCGAAAGGGACGCUAAUACCGCAUAACAUCCUGCUUUUGAAUGGGUGGAGAUCAAAGCCGGGGAUCGCAAGACCUGGCGCUUGAUGAGGGGCCCGCGUCUGAUUAGCUAGNGGUGAGGUAACGGCCCACCAAGGCAACGAUCAGUAUCCGGCCUGAGAGGGCGGACGGACACACUGGGACUGAGACACGGCCCAGACUCCUACGGAGGCAGCAGUGGGGAAUUGUUCGCAAUGGGCGCAAGCCUGACGACGCAACGCCGCGUGGAGGAUGAAGGUCUUCGGAUUGUAAACUCCUGUUGCCCGGGACGAAUGGCUCCGACCUAACACGUCGGAGUGUGACGGUACCGGGUGAGGAA